UGGUCCUAACCUUAAAAUCAAUUAAUACUUAACUUACACAUGCAAGUCUCCGCACUCCCGUGAGAAUGCCCUAAAUCUCCCUUAGAGACAAGGAGCUGGUAUCAGGCUCACUUUUAGCCCAAGACACCUAGCUAUGCCACAUCUUCAAAGAAUUUCAGCAGUGAUUAAAAUUGAACAUAAGCGUCAGCUAGAUUCAGUUAAAGUUCAUAGAGCCGGCAAAAUUGGUGCCAGCCGCCGCGGUUACACCAAUUGGCUCAAAUUGAUUUUUUUCGGCGUAAAGCGUGAUUAAAGCCCCAAAAAAUUAAAGUUAAACUAUCACUAAGCCGUGACACGCUUGUGCUUGGGAAGAUCAAAAACGAAAGUUACUUUAACAUAACCAACUUGAACUCACGACAGUUAAAACACAAACUGGGAUUAGAUACCCCACUAUGUUUAACCGUAAACUUUUAUUUACAUCAGAUAACGCCCGGGAACUACGAGCAAAGCUUAAAACCCAAAGGACUUGACGGUACCCCAUAUCCACCUAGAGGAGCCUGUCCUAUAAUCGAUAAUCCCCGCUUAACCUCACCAUUUUUAGCCUAUCAGCCUGUAUACCUCCGUCGUCAGCUUACCACGUGAGCGAAUUUUAGUAAGCCUAAUGCCCUCUACGCCAACACGUCAGGUCAAGGUGCAGCAAAUAAAAUGGGAAGAGAUGGGCUACACUUUCUAAAUUAGAAAACACGAAAAACUACUUAUGAAACCUAGUUAGAAGGCGGAUUUAGCAGUAAAAAGCAACUAGUGAGUUCUUUUUAAUUCGGCACUGGGGUGUGUACACACCGCCCGUCACCCUCUUCAAAGCCAUUAAUUAGUAUAAUAACACAAUUACGCACUAAAGAAGAGGUAAGUCGUAACAUGGUAAGUAUACCGGAAGGUGUGCUUGGAAA
rnacentral:ncRNA from 1 species